CCAUCAGCCCCAGGUGGGAGGUAAAUCAGCAGUCCCUAGGUCAGAUGGCACUGUCCCUGUCCCCAGGAUUGGCUGCUCUCGCCCCAGGAAGGAAUGAAAGUUGUGCAUCCAGUUAAGGAACGGACAUAGAUUCUCCUUACAAAGCUUGGUGGUUUAUGUCUGUAAUCGUAAUGCCCAGCGUGUUGGAGACAAAAGGAUGGCUGUGAAUUUGAAGCCAGUCUGGCUACAGGGCCAGGUUCAGGAAAAGAAACCAAGCCUACAGCAAUGGCAGUCAUGGUGCUUCACGUGUGCAAAGGAAGAAAUACUCCAUACCCACUGCUAGUCCUGGGCUAGAUCUGGGGCCUUAGCCUGCAUCCAGGAAAUGGAAACUUUUGGCUUUUGGCCUCUUUGUAACCUGGUAGACUUGGCCUCCUAUGUAUAAGGACCCACCACCAUCACCACUACUGUUGCCUGCACAGGUCCAUCAUCUCUGACUUUUCCAUGAAUGGCUUCCAGGUUGAUGACCCAUAAGACUGUUUACCAGAGACCUUCAUCUACAGGGCACAUUGUUUGCCUGUCUCCAAGGUCACCAUAUGUUGUAUGCAGCUCCUGUGCUCACUCACCUCCGCUAGUUAUCUGAUAUUGCUCUGGCUCGGUGCGCAUGGGUUUUAUUGUUGGUUGUUUGUUUUUGGCUAAUCUCCACCAGGCCUUUUGACAGAGAUGGAUGCAACCUGAGUCUGCUUCAUGUACAUUACAAGCUGCCCCCAGAACUUGAAGGGAGCCUCAGAAGUUCAGCAGCCGGAGAGGCCCUCCUCUCUGCCAUAGCUUGUCCAAGAUUGAGGCUUUUCUGGGCUGGGAGGGGUGAGAAAGGCUCCAGACAGACGUGCAAACCUGUUUCACGGAAUGGAUUUACAUAUGAACAAGAGUCUUGUUCUGGGGCCACCACAAAGUAGCAUGAAGGUCAAAGGUCAGAGAUCACCCCCAUAUCACCCCAGGCUCUGUAUGUCCUUGAGAAUGGGAAAUGUGACCUUUCCUGCUCAUUCUAAUUUUUAUUGUGAUGAGAUCUGGGAACGACCUCUGACUCGGAAGGGGUUAAAGGUCACCUGACUUCCCUAAGGCUCUUGCAGAAGGAACCUGCUUGAUCCCCAGCCCUCGCAGGUUUCCGAGUCCUAACCCAGCACAAGGCCUGUAUCUCAUUUUAGUUCGGGGGCCCUGCAAGUCACGUGGAUUUUCCCAUCACUGCUUCUAUGUGGUGGAAAAACUCCUUUGGCUGCAACUGCGGUAUAGUGCUGAGGCCAGGAACGCGGCAAAUAUCGAAGGUCCAGAGCACGCACCACAACCAACCGAAAGCUCAGAGAGAAGUCAAAGAAAGCUAAUCCUUGAGUGUGUUGCGGUGACCAGGUGGCCACAGAAACCUCUGUGAGCAGGGAGAUGAGCCAGCUUUGUCCUGCAGAGGUCCCAGCAUAAGCGAAGGCUGUAAUUUUGCCAAAGUCGAGGAGUGGGGGUGGGUGCGUCUUAUUGUUACUCCAAGCAUUUUAGCUUCCCAGUACAAGACUGCACGCUGCAAAACAACGUUG
rnacentral:lncRNA from 1 species